CUCGAAGAAGGGGCUCACAUCCUGGACACCUUCAGGAAGUACGCCGACGUGCCCUUCGUCGUCGGGGUGACACACCUCGACGAGGC
rnacentral:misc_RNA from 1 species